CCGCGAUUUCCUGGCUCAGGAUGAACGCUAGCUACAGGCUUAACACAUGCAAGUCGAGGGGAAACGACAUCGAAAGCUUGCUUUUGAUGGGCGUCGACCGGCGCACGGGUGAGUAACGCGUAUCCAACCUGCCCAUCACUUGGGGAUAACCUUGCGAAAGUAAGACUAAUACCCAAUGAUAUCUCUAGAAGACAUCUGAAAGAGAUUAAAGAUUUAUCGGUGAUGGAUGGGGAUGCGUCUGAUUAGCUUGUUGGCGGGGUAACGGCCCACCAAGGCGACGAUCAGUAGGGGUUCUGAGAGGAAGGUCCCCCACAUUGGAACUGAGACACGGUCCAAACUCCUACGGGAGGCAGCAGUGAGGAAUAUUGGUCAAUGGGCGAGAGCCUGAACCAGCCAAGUAGCGUGCAGGAUGACGGCCCUAUGGGUUGUAAACUGCUUUUAUAAGGGAAUAAAGUGAGUCUCGUGAGACUUUUUGCAUGUACCUUAUGAAUAAGGACCGGCUAAUUCCGUGCCAGCAGCCGCGGUAAUACGGAAGGUCCGGGCGUUAUCCGGAUUUAUUGGGUUUAAAGGGAGCGUAGGCCGGAGAUUAAGCGUGUUGUGAAAUGUAGACGCUCAACGUCUGCACUGCAGCGCGAACUGGUUUCCUUGAGUACGCACAAAGUGGGCGGAAUUCGUGGUGUAGCGGUGAAAUGCUUAGAUAUCACGAAGAACUCCGAUUGCGAAGGCAGCUCACUGGAACGCAACUGACGCUGAAGCUCGAAAGUGCGGGUAUCGAACAGGAUUAGAUACCCUGGUAGUCCGCACGGUAAACGAUGGAUGCCCGCUGUUGGUCUGAAUAGGUCAGCGGCCAAGCGAAAGCAUUAAGCAUCCCACCUGGGGAGUACGCCGGCAA
rnacentral:rRNA from 1 species